GAUUGAAGAACGCAGCAAAAUGCGAUAAGUAAUGUGAAUUGCAGAAUUCAGUGAAUCAUCGAAUCUUUGAACGCACAUUGCGCCCGCCAGUAUUCUGGCGGGCAUGCCUGUUCGAGCGUCAUUUCAACCCUCAAGCACAGCUUGGUGUUGGGACUCGCGUUAAUUCGCGUUCCCCAAAUUGAUUGGCGGUCACGUCGAGCUUCCAUAGCGUAGUAGUAAAACCCUCGUUACUGGUAAUCGUCGCGGCCACGCCGUUAAACCCCAACUUCUGAAUGUUGACCUCGGAUCAGGUAGGAAUACCCGCUGAACUUAAGCAUAUCAAUAAGCGGAGGA
rnacentral:misc_RNA from 1 species